rnacentral:rRNA from 1 species
GAUGAACGCUGACAGAAUGCUUAACACAUGCAAGUCGAUGGGGAAGUGGUGCUUGCACCAUGGCAACCAUGGCGGACGGGUGAGUAACGCGUAAGGGACUUACCUGCAGGACUGGGAUAACAGGGGGAAACUCCUGACAAGACCGGAUAAUGUCAUGGAGCUGCAUGGCUUUAUGAUGAAAGGAGACGCCUGCGGAGAGCCUUGCGUCCUAUUAGCUAGUUGGUGAGGUAAUGGCUCACCAAGGCGAAGAUAGGUAGCCGGCCUGAGAGGGUGGACGGCCACAAGGGGACUGAGAUACGGCCCUUACUCCUACGGGAGGCAGCAGUGGGGAAUAUUGGACAAUGGGGGCAACCCUGAUCCAGCAAUUCUGUGUGCACGAAGAAGGUUUUCGGAUUGUAAAGUGCUUUCAGCAGGGAAGAAGGAAGUGACGGUACCUGCAGAAGAAGCG